ACUGAAAAACUGUUGAUAGUGAUCAUCUGAACACAACGGUGAUUGAUUAGCUAAUUUAAAGAGCUGCUCUGCUGAUGAUUUGUCAGAGUUGGUGUGUGUCGCCUUAUUUUACUGCUAACUGAACCGAAACACAUCGCACAUGGACAUGCUAAGGUUGUCAAAGUCUAGCUAGCAUAACUGACAACUUCUCACUUUCUCUACAUUAUUUUUAAUUAAAACAUUUUCCUGACCACUGAAAUUGGACCUUUGUUAUCCAGUUAUUGUUGUGUUGUCAAAUAACAAAAAAAAUGGCGUUGUUUUUUGAUGUUAUUUUUGUUACUGUGUCAUUUUUCCGACCACAGAUAUUCCUGACUCAAAGCACAGCCAUGGCGCGCGCUAACUGACGUGAUGUCCAAUCCAGUAUUACAUUAAUGAUCCAACUGCAGCUAUUUUUAACUUCAAUACUGAUUUAUUAAUUAAAAUGUUUAAUUAAGCCGGAACCGGACUCCAUGCUUCUCUAGCUGCAGUCCAGGUGUGCUGGACUGCACACCUGGUGCCGUUUCCCUCAGUUACC